CUACGGGUUGCUGCAGUGGGGAAUAUUGCACAAUGGGCGAAAGCCUGAUGCAGCAACGCCGCGUGAGUGAUGAAGGCCUUCGGGUCGUAAAACUCUGUCCUCAAGGAAGAUAAUGACGGUACUUGAGGAGGAAGCCCCGGCUAACUACGUGCCAGCAGCCGCGGUAAUACGUAGGGGGCUAGCGUUAUCCGGAUUUACUGGGCGUAAAGGGUGCGUAGGUGGUUUCUUAAGUCAGGAGUGAAAGGCUACGGCUUAACCGUAGUAAGCUCUUGAAACUGGGGAACUUGAGUGCAGGAGAGGAAAGUGGAAUUCCUAGUGUAGCGGUGAAAUGCGUAGAUAUUAGGAGGAACACCAGUAGCGAAGGCGGCUUUCUGGACUGUAACUGACACUGAGACACGAAAGCGUGGGGAGCAAACAGGAUUAGAUACCCUCGUAGUC
rnacentral:rRNA from 1 species